AGUCACUCAUCGGUCCCUUAUGUCCAGGGCUACACACGUGCUACAAUGGGCGGUACAGAGCGAGGCGAGCCCGCGAGGGCGGAGCGAAAGCGCGGAAAGCCGCCCGUAGUCCGGAUUGAAGUCUGAAACCCGACUUCAUGAAGCUGGAAUCGCUAGUAAUCGCGCAUCAGCAUGGCGCGGUGAAUACGUUCCCGGGCCUU
rnacentral:rRNA from 1 species